CUAAAGUCGGUGGGUCCGCGAGGAUGAAACCACAUUCCAUCACAGUCACCAAUCCCAUGGAGCUGGAGAACUUCUGGGGUCCAACAAGAUCCAUCAGGGUUUCAAACAAUAUGGAGCUAAACCACCCAAAGGCAAAUCCAAGGAAUCCCGCAUAAACAGAGAACCCAAUAUAGCUGGUGGCAAAAGAAAACAACAGUGACAAAACCAAAACAAAACUACAGAACGAGAAUGCCUACCAUUACUUUUCUUCAACAUACUGAAGUCCAAGCCAGCGCAGUUAAGAUGGGAAAAAAAG